UGAGGAAUAUUGGUCAAUGGACGAGAGUCUGAACCAGCCAAGUAGCGUGAAGGAUGACUGCCCUAUGGGUUGUAAACUUCUUUUAUACGGGAAUAAAGUGAGGCACGUGUGCCUUUUUGUAUGUACCGUAUGAAUAAGGAUCGGCUAACUCCGUGCCAGCAGCCGCGGUAAUACGGAGGAUCCGAGCGUUAUCCGGAUUUAUUGGGUUUAAAGGGAGCGUAGGCGGACGCUUAAGUCAGUUGUGAAAGUUUGCGGCUCAACCGUAAAAUUGCAGUUGAUACUGGGUGUCUUGAGUACAGUAGAGGCAGGCGGAAUUCGUGGUGUAGCGGUGAAAUGCUUAGAUAUCACGAAGAACUCCGAUUGCGAAGGCAGCUUGCUGGACUGUAACUGACGCUGAUGCUCGAAAGUGUGGGUAUCAAACAGGAUUAGAUACCCUGGUAGUCCACACAGUAAACGAUGAAUACUCGCUGUUUGCGAUAUACAGUAAGCGGCCAAGCGAAAGCGUUAAGUAUUCCACCUGGGGAGUACGCCGGCAACGGUGAAACUCAAAGGAAUUGACGGGGGCCCGCACAAGCGGAGGAACAUGUGGUUUAAUUCGAUGAUACGCGAGGAACCUUACCCGGGCUUGAAUUGCAACUGAAUGAUGUGGAGACAUGUCAGCCGCAAGGCAGUUGUGAAGGUGCUGCAUGGUUGUCGUCAGCUCGUGCCGUGAGGUGUCGGCUUAAGUGCCAUAACGAGCGCAACCCUUAUCGAUAGUUACCAUCAGGUUAUGCUGGGGACUCUGUCGAGACUGCCGUCGUAAGAUGUGAGGAAGGUGGGGAUGACGUCAAAUCAGCACGGCCCUUACGUCCGGGGCUACACACGCGUUACAAUGGGGGGUACAGAAGGCAGCUACACGGCGACGUGAUGCUAAUCCCGAAAGCCUCUCUCAGUUCGGAUUGGAGUCUGCAACCCGACUCCAUGAAGCUGGAUUCGCUAGUAAUCGCGCAUCAGCCACGGCGCGGUGAAUACGUUCCC
rnacentral:rRNA from 2 species